UGUGGCAGAAUAGUGCAAUAAAUUUAAGCUUUAUUCAUAAAGUAAUCUUUCUUUAGA
rnacentral:tRNA from 3 species